UAAAAAAAGAUGCCUGAGGGGCUGUUUAAAGGGAGGGGUCACUUUGCAAAAUACAGUCGGGUUUUAGUUUUGAGAGACUAAUUUGAGAACUGAGGGCAGUGGAACAAUGCAGAUGGGGUGUUUGCACGAGGGCGCUGUGGAAGUAGAGCGCUGAAGGCCGCACCAACUUGGUGUAAAGACAGCUGUCCAUGGUCAGAGGGAAAGGGCAGCUUUGAGGAAGUGCCCACAUUGGCGCUCAGAAUCGACUGUAUUGGCAAAAGAGGGGGUUCAUUGGGUGGAGAAAGGAUCACCUUAGCAAGAGAAAAUAGAGAAUGUCACAGAGAGGCCCAGGCUCCCCGGAAUGUGUUGAACUAAAGGUUGGGACCACGGGGGUCCACAACACCCACGAUUCCAAGUGAGGCUGAACCAGAACAAUGCUAUUUUGUGCUGUUAUUGCGACCUUCCUGUUCCCACCCUCAGAUGUGUGACUGGGAGGAAGCAGAGAGUGACCCAAAUGGACAGAUCGGAGAAAUUGUUAGAGAAUAAAAACCCCAGAGGGAGAACGGAAUGGUGCCCUGGAUUACAACAGUUGCUGUGACGUGAAGAAGCCACCAGGGGGCAGUGCCUCCCUAGCCUUCUCUGUUCGAAUGGGCACAAUCCCGAGGAAGUCGGAGGAAGAAAGGAAACAUAGCCACAAGGCUAGGCCCUUGAUCCUGGGCAGUUUUCUUUCUUCUUCGGCAGAGCGCACUGCUCCUGCAAUUACGGCGCGUGAAUUGCCCUGGGGGCUGAAGGGUGUGAAGUGUAUGGGUGGGAACCCAUCUAGAGCCACCCGGGGGACCCGCUCACGCUGCAGACCCCGGGGGCAUCCGGCUCUCAGCUCUCACCCACCAUGUCACCCACCAUGGCCUCUUCUCCUCCUUCCAGAAAUGCUUGGUGAGCAGCCACUGCGUAUCAGGCACUUUUCUAGGCCCUGCGGGCACGGGUCGUGCUGGAAUCUAGGCUCUGGAGGAGAGGGGCAGAGGUCUCCCCGCAGCUCCUCCCACGUGGCCACCACCUCCACCUGUGUCCGGAGCCCCAGACGCACUGGCACAGCGGAAGAUGCUGCAGUCCACCCAAACCGGCCUUUGGAAGGCCAAGUGACAGAAGGCCUUCAGCUUUGUUACAUCUUUUGUCUCCUGCACCCGGGGUGUGGCUGGGAUAACCCGGAGUGGUGAUCGGAUGACGGAAUCUGCAGGGGCGUGCAGUGACCACCAGGUGGCGCUUAGAGACACCAAAGGGGCAGUGAUCUCAAGGGUGGUGAUCUCAGGGGCCAAACAUUUCUUUGGGGCCACAAUACAUCACAGUGACAGGGCAAGCAGAGCAGUGCUUUGGAACAGCUCAUUCGUCCCCUACUUGCUCAGAAAAUUCUCAAGAGUGCUCUGAAGGCGGAGUUUCUUUCUGCCUCCUUAACUGGAUCCAGGGAGUGGCUGUUGCCUUGGAGACCUGAGGGCAGAGCCCUGGCUUCUUGUGGCAAGUGGGGCUGUGGGGGAAGAGGGGUUCCUGGCUGAAGGAUGACCACCCUAGGAAAACAGCUAAGGCUGAAAACAGCAAGGCUGGGCUCUCUCUCAGUCUACUGCACCAGAAAAGAAUGUCAGUGUCCUCAAGGUAAGCAUGCUGUCUGCCUCCGAGUCCCUGGCUGGGGGUGACCAGGACGCCUUUGACUCUAAAACGAGGGUCCAAGGUAAGAGGGAUUUUUGCCUUGAUUUGGAAGUUGGAUCUGGUUAUUCAAAACAAUUCUGAAUUCUGGGGUGUCAAGGUAGCUUUGGACUCUGGGUCUCAUUAAUGCCUGCUUCUUGCUCCGUGAGUAGUGGCCCUGGUAGGGAGAAGGACAGACAUCAGCCUUCUAGGUGGCCAGCUUGUCUGCUAAUCAUCUCGGUUGGCUUGGAGGGAUUGGCUUGUCAGAGGGGUGGCGGAUCUGAAAGGGCCUGGGCUGGGGGACGGGGCCGGGAGUACCAGCCACACUGAACAGCAGAUACAGACAGACGGACCACGCUUGAUUCAGCCUUGACCCCCGCCUCCCCACCACUGGUUCCUCAUUGUUUGACCUCGAUGUGUGACUCUCAGCAGUUACCUGCUAGUAGACACCCACCUUUCAGUCAGCUUCACAGCCACUGCCUCCACCCUCGCCUCUCAGGGUGUGGUCUUACAAGAACCUGUCCUGUGUGGUCCUGGCUCUGCCUCGACAUCAUGUCAGCACCUGGCUGCCCUGGCCUGGGACGAGGGACCACUGCUCUUCUUUCCACUAUUCCAUGCAGGGGUGUGGGAGGUAAGCCUUUCUCUUAAGGCCCCGCCAGGACCAGGCUGACAUAUUUAGCAGAUGGUUCUGGAGGCUUGGACAAGCAGAGGCAGUGAGACACAGAGUGUCCUGGUGGCCUCCUACCAGAUGUGGUGGCUCUUAGGGUCAUGGGUCCGUCCUCAGGAAGAAGAGUUCUAAUGCCACCACCUCUCCCCCCAAAAGAGAGCUCAACGUGCCCUCCCUAGACCCAGGCCUUCAAGUAGGAGAGAGAAUGGGACGGGAAUUUACCUUUGGGACAGACUUGCCUUUGUCCCCAGGCCCAGAGAGAAGAGGAAAUGCCUUUUCCCUGCAGCCCAGGGCUCAGAGGCUUUCGUUUCCUGUGCUGGGAUCUGCCUUUCCUAGGACAUUCGCCGCAGGGCUGUUCAUCCAGCCCCACCCGUCGGCCCUGUAGGAUGGGCUUGAAGAGCAGCCUCGAACCAGCAGCCACUGGAGGAAAAGGAAAUCCAGCCCCUCUGCCUCCCGUCAGCACCAGGUGACGCUCACCUCUGCACAGAGCAUCUGCACUCAGCUUCCUGGUGUGGACUUUUGCAGGACUCAAGGGGGUUUUCUCAGAAAAAGGCAAAUCUGCCUCGGGGCGGAUUUAGGUAUUGAUUCCUCCUCAUGGACAGUAACCGCCUGGAGCCUGGGAGCAAGGCUUUCCUGGAGUUUAGACAAUCUCCAGGCGCGGAGGUCCCAGCUAGGGCACCACAGGGUUUCUGUGUCCCUCUGUCCCCAUCUCCACUCCCGCUAUUUCAAAGCUCUCAGUUUCCCUCCAGCCUCCUACCCUGCCACCUGCCCCCAUUCUUGGCAGCUGCUCUAAUUUGGGGAGAAAACAGAACCAGCAGUCCCUGGCCCCCAGCUCCCAUCCACAUGCUGCAGGCAGGUAGGCUGGCUCUUGGCGUCUCCUCUUCUCCUGUCACCCUGGAGAAGGCGGGCUGCCCCACCCAAGCAGCUCACCCAAGUUCAGAUGGGCGGCUGUGGAAGUCAGCCUUUAAAAAGACUCUGGUCUUUUUUCUUUUCAGGGCCACACCUGCAGCAUAUGGAGGUUCCCA